GCCCGCCUAGCUCAAUCGGAUAGAGCGUCAGACUCUUAGGCGGGUUCAACUCCUCAACUGUGAUCUGAAGGCUGCGAGUUCGACCCUCGCGGUGGGCU